rnacentral:misc_RNA from 1 species
GAUGAAGAACGCAGCGAAAUGCGAUAAGUAAUGUGAAUUGCAGAAUUCAGUGAAUCAUCGAGUCUUUGAACGCACAUUGCGCCCCAUGGUAUUCCGGGGGGCAUGCCUGUCCGAGCGUCAUUGCUGCCCUCAAGCACGGCUUGUGUGUUGGGCCUCCGUCCUCCUCCCGGGGGACGGGCCCGAAAGGCAGCGGCGGCACCGCGUCCGGUCCUCGAGCGUAUGGGGCUUCGUCACCCGCUCUUGUAGGCCCGGCCGGCGCUUGCCGACACAUCAAUCUUUUUUCCAGGUUGACCUCGGAUCAGGUAGGGAUACCCGCUGAACUUAAGCAUAUCAAUAAGCGGAGGA